AUUCAAAUAGCUUAAACUAGAGCAUGACAUUGAAGAUGUUAGGGUGGUCAUUGAUCUUUGGAUA
rnacentral:tRNA from 1 species